UAGUGUGCUCUGGAAACUNUCUGACUUGAGUGCAGAAGGGGAGAGUGGAAUUCCAUGUGUAGCGGUGAAAUGCGUAGAUAUAUGGAGGAACACCAGUGGCGAAAGCGGCUCUCUGGUCUGUCACUGACGCUGAGGCUCGAAAGCGUGGGUAGCGAACAGGAUUAGAUACCCUGGUAGUCCACGCCGUAAACGAUGAGUGCUAGGUGUUAGGCCCUUUCCGGGGCUUAGUGCCGGAGCUAACGCAAUAAGCACUCCGCCUGGGGAGUACGACCGCAAGGUUGAAACUCAAAGGAAUUGACGGGGGCCCGCACAAGCGGUGGAGCAUGUGGUUUAAUUCGAAGCAACGCGAAGAACCUUACCAGGUCUUGACAUCCCGAUACUAUUCUUAGAGAUAGGAAGUUACUUCGGUACAUCGGAGACAGGUGGUGCAUGGUUGUCGUCAGCUCGUGUCGUGAGAUGUUGGGUUAAGUCCCGCAACGAGCGCAACCCUUAUUGUUAGUUGCCAUCAUUAAGUUGGGCACUCUAGCGAGACUGCCGGUAAUAAACCGGAGGAAGGUGGGGAUGACGUCAAAUCAUCAUGCUCCUUAUGACCUGGGCUACACACGUGCUACAAUGGUCGGUACAACGAGUUGCGAGCCGGUGACGGCAAGCUAAUCUCUGAAAGCCGAUCUCAGUUCGGAUUGGAGGCUGCAACUCGCCUCCAUGAAGUCGGAAUCGCUAGUAAUCGCGGAUCAGCACGCCGCGGUGAAUACGUUCCCGGGCCUUGUACACACCGCCCGUCACACCACGAGAGUUUGUAACACCCGAAGUCGGUGAGGUANCCUUUUAGGG
rnacentral:rRNA from 1 species